rnacentral:ncRNA from 1 species
AAAGUCAAUCCCAAACUACUACUUAUCUAACCAAAACCCUAAUAGAAAUAGUUAACACUAGAGUACAACGGAUCAUACAACGAUCAACCAGGUAUGCUACCUAGGUCAGGUGAAGGAAAAGGGGUUGCCCCUUGAAUAUGACAUGCGAAUAGAGGGGAAGUAGUAGUU